rnacentral:rRNA from 1 species
GAUGAACGCUAGCUACAGGCUUAACACAUGCAAGUCGAGGGGUAACGAGAGGAAAGCUUGCUUUCCUUGUCGACGACCGGCGCACGGGUGAGUAACGCGUAUCCAACCUGCCCCCAACUAAGGAAUAACCUUGCGAAAGUAAGACUAAUACCUUAUAAUUUCCUCAGAUGUCAUCUGACGAGGAAUAAAGAUUUAUCGGUUGUGGAUGGGGAUGCGUCUGAUUAGCUUGUUUGCGGGGUAACGGCCCACCAAGGCAACGAUCAGUAGGGGUUCUGAAAGGAAGGUCCCCCACAUUGGAACUGAGACACGGUCCAAACUCCUACGGGAGGCAGCAGUGAGGAAUAUCGGUCAAUGGGCGAAAGCCUGAACCAGCCAAGUAGCGUGCAGGCUGACGGCCCUAUGGGUUGUAAACUGCUUUUAUACAGGAAUAAAGUUGGCCACGUGUGGUUAUUUGUAGGUACUGUAUGAAUAAGGACCGGCUAAUUCCGUGCCAGCCGCCGCGGUAA